GAGUUUGAUCCUGGCUCAGGAUGAACGCUGGCGGCGUGCCUAACACAUGCAAGUCGAACGGAGUUACUUUGGUGAAGUUUUCGGAUGGAUCUGAUUUAACUUAGUGGCGGACGGGUGAGUAAUGCGUGAGCAACCUGCCCUUCAGAGGGGGACAACAGUUGGAAACGACUGCUAAUACCGCAUAAUGUAUUCGGAAGGCAUCUUCUGAAUACCAAAGGAGAAAUCCGCUGAGGGAUGGGCUCACGUCUGAUUAGUUAGUUGGUGAGGUAACGGCUCACCAAGACUGCGAUCAGUAGCCGGACUGAGAGGUUGAACGGCCACAUUGGGACUGAGAUACGGCCCAGACUCCUACGGGAGGCAGCAGUGGGGAAUAUUGGGCAAUGGGCGAAAGCCUGACCCAGCAACGCCGCGUGAAGGAAGAAGGCCUUCGGGUUGUAAACUUCUUUUAAGAGGGACGAAGAAGUGACGGUACCUCUUGAAUAAGCCACGGCUAACUACGUGCCAGCCGCCGCGGUAAUUC
rnacentral:rRNA from 1 species